GCCUGGGGUUACGGCCGCUCGGAGGCAGCUGCGGGUCUGGGGCCUCCCAAAACCUCUUCUCCGGGGCAUCUGCAAAGUGGAAAGCUUUGCCCGCUAGUGCCUUGCCAUUCAGAACCCAUCUGAGUGGCACCGGCAGGCUCUCGUUUGCUUGCUGUUUGCUGGAACAUUUGGAGAUAGGAACUGCCAUAAUUUCGGAGGAAACUGUGACGUUGUUACAAACGAGGAGCAUCUCCAUAUGUAGAUGGGCAUUAAAAUGCUGAGGAAGUGGGAGGUUAACGGGGACUCAUUUUAUACUUCACUUGAUUGAAAGAAUAAAGGAUGAUUUAAAACCUUAAUUGCUGCUCUGUUUAUACUUCAUACAGUAUUCAUUUAUAUUGUAGCAGAGCAACCAGUUUUCCAGUUGUAAGUUUGAUGCCGGUGCAGAACUUGGUUUCUGUGUGCAGUGUGUGGAUCCCUUAUGAUCAGACAUGGUGCAGGCAAGCUGCGCGCUGAGCGAAGUGCUAACGUGUCUGGACACAGCAUGCAAAUCCCAGAACAGUUGUUUUCCAUGGCGUCCCUUGAGAACAAGGAAAGAAUUCACACUUCACACCCACUUCUAAGGAGAUGUGGAUCUUUAUCAAGGCUGUAGAGUGCUGAUUACUACAUUUAACUGCUGUAUAAUCAAUUUGAGAAGUAAACACAAAGAGACAAGUAACCACUCUCUCAGUUCUUGAGCAUUGGAGGAAUGGACAUGAAUGUGAGUGGGGAGUCAUCUGUUUGCUAUCAAGCCUUUUUUUUUCCUUACUCCCUACUGUAAGGCGAAAGGACAGCUUCUCUAUAGGUAGAAGUGAAGGCAGAGGCACAGUGAUGGUUCCACACUUUCUGUGCCCUAUCCCUUCUGCCAGUCCUUUCACACUGUGAGUCUGAGGCAGAAGGAUGGAUGAAAGUCAAACAAUGUUAAGUAUUUCAUGGAUAAUGUAAAGAGCAAGAAUUCUGUAGGUCCUGGAUGAGCUGGGGAGGAAGAAAUAAGAAAGUCAGGCAAGUAUCCAUCCUUAACAUCUUGCUGCAUAUUUAUUUGUUUGUUUGAAAUGCCGUGGUCUGCAAACAAAUAAAGAAUUUCAGUCAUUAAUCAAAGAAAAGCACAUGGCUUGUGGUAUGUCAGGAAAGUGAGAUUUGUUUUUUUGGAACACAACCAGCAGCUCUUGUGUUUUGGAUUGAUAAGAAUGGUUUAUGCUGUUCCCUGGAACAGAACAUAGGAACAUAAGAACAGAUAGUUUGUGUGAGAUUAAAAGUCACCUAAAUCAGUAAUCUGUCUUUGACAAUGGCAGAUGCUUUUGGAAAUAGAAUAGGAAAUCUGACAUCUCCGAGUGCCAUUUCUACUAGAUGCUCUACCAGGUUAUAAAAUGAGUUUGAGGCUGAGUUCAUGACACACUUGGUAGUCUUCCAUUGGUUUGUCUAACAGAGUUUGGAUCCAAUUUAUUAGUUUUGGCAUACAACAAACCUGUAUCAAUUAGUGCCACA
rnacentral:lncRNA from 1 species